UACCAGGGCAGACUAGACCGGGAGCAGGGCCAAGGAGGCAGAGGCCCCAGGGAGGCCCAACUGCGGGCUCGGGGGCCUGCUAUGGCCCGAGUCCCCAGCCAGCACGCAUGUCCAGGAAACAAGGCUGCCAGCUCGCAGCAGCACUGGCCGUGCCUCUCUAGCGCUGGCUGAGGAGCCAUGGGAUCCCCGGAAGCCUGAUGGGCGAGAAGCCCAGUGGUUUUGCCUUUCAAGCCUUAUCUGUGAAAUCACGCAUGCCAGGUGCCCCUAGAAAAGCAGAGUGGCUCUAGAAAGGCACUGUGCAGAACAGUGCAAGACUCUUCUGAGGCUCCACUGCCGUGCUGCCCUGCUUCGGAGCCAGCCUUUUGUGGACUAAAACUUCUACAAACUGUGAGCUUGAAUAAACCCCUCCUCUUCUGCUUUGGUUUUGCUCUGCUGUUCAGGCUGAUCCCAAACGCAUGAAUUCCAGCAAUCCCCAUGCCUCAUCCUUCCAAGUAGCUGGACUACAGGACGAAGUCUCUCCAAGUUGCCAGUUGCCCAGGCUGGCCUCAAACUUGUGAUCCUCCUGCCUCAGCCGCUCAGAAUGCUGGAAUUCCAGUGCCGGCCACCGCCCCAGGUGUCUGUGGGUGUUCUUGAGUGAAAAAUUUGCAUCCUAGAUUUUUAGGGGAGAUGCUACUACUCCCAUUGUUUUCUUUGCCAACAGAAGCAUCCCGAGCCGGUGCAGCAGAUGAGGAGCUAACAGCUCUUUCUGCACAGGCCCACGGCAGGCCGAGCUGGGUCCCCUGCCACUCACAGUGGUGCACAGGGCAGAGUGAGGGUCAGACACCUUGGAACAGGAUAAACACACAGAUGGGCCAAGCUGGAGGAGCAAGUCCACCCCUGGGGCGGAGGAGCUCAGUAAUCAGAGCAGAAUGUUUGAGGAAGGGGGUCCUGAAAGAAGGAAGCCAGUCAGGGACGGGCACCUCCGGGGCUGCGGGCCCUUAGGGCUGCUCACCAGCAGGACUCCCAUCUGGGACCACUGCCUCCCCUUUAGCCAGGCCAGUCUUGAGUCUCCCUGCGCCCCGCCCGCUGGGAAUAGGCUGGCCUGGGUUACUCUUCGGGUUGGGGUGCAUUUUUGCACCAGCUGUAAAGACAGCGCCUCACACAGGUGGCAUCCAGGAGGCCAGGCCCUUGCCCUCUUGCAGCAUCCCAGGCACCGGCGAAGCCAGGCUGGGACCUCUCAUCGCCGACAGUGGCCCUAACCCUGGCUGCAGUUCUCUGAGAUGGGGACCAGAGCCGACUGCAGUCUCUUGCUGCUUAGUAUUUACCGAGUAAAAGCCAUUGCCCUGGAGACACCCGGUUUAUUGACACUGAGAGAUGGAGGCUGACUGUCUGGUCUGCAGAUUUGCACAGAAAUCUUCUGUGUUUCUGAGCAGAGAGCUGGAGAGAAGCAGUCUAUGUGGACCUGGAGCUCAGCACAGGGGGUCCAGCCCUCCAACCUGGUCCGGUGAGGCAGUGGGCACAGCGCCCGCCCGGGAUGUGGAGGCUGCUGUAUCCAGGAGCUGUCUUCCUCCAGCGUCCUGGGUCCAGAUCCUCCCUCCCCUGGGGGUGGUGUGGGGAUGCCUUGGGCCCCUGGCCUGGGCUGCUGCUUUAGACCUGGUGGUUGGAGCCCUGACAGGGCCCUUAGGUCACUCCAUAGUUUGGAGUGCCUUCCUUAAAAGUUUUCAAGUCCCCCUCUGGUCUCGGGGACAGCCAGGAUGGGCCUGGGCACCCCCAAGAUUGUGGGCCCGAGUGGUCUUCACUAGGCACUGUCUGAUCCUGCACUCUGGGUGUGAGGUUGACCUUGUACUUAAAGGAAUUCUGGGACUCAGGUCAAAGGUGAUUCUGAGCACCAGUGGUUCCAGGGAUGGUGGCCCAGGGAGUAGUUGGUUCCCGCUGACUGCUAUGGUCUUCCUUUUAGGGAGCCAAGCUGCUAGAAUGGUGGUGACAGCUUGGGGCUCACACCAAGCUGAUUUUGGGUGACCUCUAUUUGCAUAACAGAGGCCACAGAAAAGGGUCCACACAUCUGAGGAGCCUCAUCUUGCAGUGAUGCAAGUUAUCAGCUUGGUGCCCGUGGACAGAUCACAGCUUCCCAUGCAGCCUCUGGGCGGCCGAUUGGCCUUGUGCUUGGCUUCCGGCUGCUGUGACCAUGACCUGACUGGCGAGCCGUCUGGGUCUCCUCCAGUGCUGUGCAGCAGUGCAGAGGGACCCCAGGGGUUCCUAGUGAGCUCCACUCCUCCUAGGGCCUCUGUACUCCUCCGUUCCAGGAGGUCCUCUAGCUCUGUGUGUCCAGCAAGGAGGGACCGGGUCAGUGAUCCAGGGCCUCAUCUGCCAUGUCCCAGUGUCCAGUCUGCCCUCCAACCUGGGCUGCUCCCCCGUGCAGCUGUCUAUGGGUGGCUGCCUGUCCCCUUGGCCAGCCCUGCCCCAGACAGAGACGUCUGUGGGGACUCAUUUCAUGCCUACAGGAUGAGGGAUGCAGGGUGGUGGCUGGGACUUAGAGACUUCAUAUUGGUGACAGAUGCUUCCUCUCAGACAGCAGAUAAAGGUCAGACCUAAAUUCCAGAAUAAAAACAUCCACUUAUCUGGAAAAUGUCAGAAAGAAGGACGGUGCCCUUUGCUGAGGGAGCCCGCGUGCAGGGCCAGACGUCUGUGCUGGGGAUGUGGGGCUCCUCGCUCGCUUCCUGGAGGAGGGAGCCUGGGCGCCCCCACUGCAGGUCCAGCCUGGGCUGGAGCACGUGCAGGCCCUGGCUUGUGUCCCCUUUCUCUGACACCUGGACCCUGCUCAGGGCCUGCAGCAGGAAGGGCACGAGCACAGACACUGCCAGGCUGCUCUGCCUGCUUCACCCAUGUGGCAAACAGUGAACUUCACGAUGAAGCCUGGCUUUUUGGCCUGUGAGGACACCUGUCCUCCCCACCUGAUCAUGGACCGGAACCAGAGAGAAGCAGCCCCUUGAAGGGCCCACCAUCUCCAGUGCUCUGUCCUGCUCCCUGUGGAGCCCUGGUGGGUGUGGAAUUGGGGCCUUGUACAGUGGCCUCCCCCUGGCCAGCCCGGCUCCUUGCAGCUGCCAAUGCUUGCAAAUGGCCCAAAGGUGUCCCCUCAGACUCCCGUGCUGGAAGCUGGGUCUCCAUGCGGCAGUGAGGGGCUGGUGAA